AUUGAACGCUGGCGGCAUGCUUUACACAUGCAAGUCGAACGGUAACAGGCCUUCGGGUGCUGACGAGUGGCGAACGGGUGAGUAAUGCAUCGGAACGUACCCAGAGGUGGGGGAUAACGCAGCGAAAGCUGUGCUAAUACCGCAUGUGAUCUGAGGAUGAAAGCGGGGGACCGAGCAGCAAUGUUUGGCCUCGCGCCUUUGGAGCGGCCGAUGUCGGAUUAGCUAGUUGGUGGGGUAAAGGCCUACCAAGGUGACGAUCCGUAGCUGGUCUGAGAGGACGACCAGCCACACUGGGACUGAGACACGGCCCAGACUCCUACGGGAGGCAGCAGUGGGGAAUUUUGGACAAUGGGCGCAAGCCUGAUCCAGCAAUGCCGCGUGCGGGAAGAAGGCCUUCGGGUUGUAAACCGCUUUUGGCAGGAACGAAACGGUGUCCGCUAAUACCGGGCGCUAAUGACGGUACCUGCAGAAUAAGCACCGGCUAACUACGUG
rnacentral:rRNA from 1 species